CCAACGGCUGGCUCUGUGGGCGGCGGCAUGGGCAGACGGAACCCGCGCCAGUACCAGAUCCCCUCUCGGAACGUCCCUUCCGCCCGCCUGGGCCUCUUGGGCACCAGUGGAUUUGUCAGCUCCAACCAGCGCAACACCACAGCUGCCCCCACCAUCAUGAAACAAGGAAGACAGAACCUGUGGUUUGCCAACCCCGGAGGCAGCAAUAGCAUGCCAAGCCGCACCCACAGCUCAGUCCAGAGGACCCGCUCGCUGCCCGUGCACACUUCCCCACAGAACAUGCUGAUGUUCCAGCAGCCAGGUUCCCAAGUUCAUGGUGGACUGUGUUUAACAGACCUUAGAGGUUGGUUGAGCCUGAGUGGAGCCCCUUCCAUGCCAGCGCUGACAGUCCCCAAGUCCUCCCAGGGAGGUACACCAAACCUUUCUCCUGCAGGUGGAACCAGGUGGCACCCUGCUUAUCUCCUCCUUGUCACCAACAUAACCCUUUAUCCCCUGCAGAAUUCCAGCUUCCCGUGACCGAACCUGACAUCAACAACAGGCUGGAGUCGUUGUGCCUCAGUAUGACCGAACACGCCCUGGGAGAUGGGGUUGACCGGACCUCCACCAUCUAGAAGCCGAAGAUGAGAGUGACCGCGCUGGCCGUGAAAUCGACUGCUGCGGGUCCAGUGUCAGCCAUCUUCAGGGUUGCACAGAAUCCUCCAAGAUACUUUGCAGCCUUUUUUUCCUAUGGUCCCUCUCCCGUUUUGAUUUUGUGAGAGCGUAGCUCAUCCUCGUAAACAUAUCAGUAGACCUGGG
rnacentral:sRNA from 1 species